GAGCGAGGGGCACGCACCUUUGAAGGGAUGAGCAGUCUCGUGCGGGGGACGGCAGGUGUUGCGUGCUAAAAUAAAAGCGAAACAACGCAACGCGGGAGUGGCGAGUCCGCGGCGCGCAGAAGGGUAGCUUUUGUUCGCAGUACGUGCGAGCGCAUCGAAGAGCAGGCUCUAAAUCGAGGUGAGUACGUAUCGAAACCACCAUGUGGAAUGAUGAAUCUGCGCCGUGGGAUCUCGAAGAGCCCACACCCGAAGCAGCUGUCGAGGGUGCGGCAGAGGGUGCACCCGCCGAAGGAGCCGCUCCUGAGAAACCGGCUUUAAAAUUGGAGAAGAUCGAGCCUCCCCAUUACAACCAUCACUGGGUUCGACCGCUGUUCCUCAACUAUGCAUAUCUUUAUGACUACAGGCAGAAUUACUAUAACGACGUGAUCGACUACCUCAACCAAAGGCAGAAGGGCAUAUACCGCGAGCCGCCUAGGGCUCAGGAGUGGGCGGAGAGGGCCAUAAGGACCUACGAUCAGAAGAACGAGGACAGGAGCUUUAAGCGUUCGGCCGACAUGAAGUACAUCACCAACAUGAGACUCACGUCCAGACACUACAGCUACCAUACUCGCGCCUACUACAGCUUGAAGUAUCAGAAGAUUCUGUGAACUCACCGCUUCGUUAUAGGCCGCAUUACCGUUCUCCUUCAUUUUUUUCGUCAGACAUAUCACUCAGGAGGACACGCAACACCUUUCAUAAAUCGCCCCACCGUGGUCUGUGUUGAUGCGAGACGCGAGCGUGAGUGUGCAUGCGGACUGUAUGCACCCCAAACGCCCGGAGCUCAACUGGAGGCUGAGAUAAAGUUUUGCGAUGUCGAAGUCCGACGAAACGAUCCUCGAGAGGAAGAAGAAGAAGCUGGCACGGUUCUCGCAGCCACGGUUUCUCGAUCACCGCAGAUCGUCGAUCUAAUCGUUGUAGCGCACGCGUACGUGUCAAUCAUUACACCAAGACCUCCCGCGUAACAUCACGAGUACUUAGAAAAUCCAAACAACAUUCAACAGUAUUUAUUCAACAAGUCGCAAGAUGAUACAUCGAAUAGGGGGUGGGAUCAACAACAAUCAAGAGACUAACUACAGACAAGAAGGCGAGACAACGGAAAUCGAUGCACGCAAAACAGAGAACCGGCUCUGGCACUGGAGAAAAGGAUGACGCCUAGCUUUAUCUGCUCGAAUAAGCCUGUUGAAACGCGAGCACCUCGUUCGCUGAUCACCACAGCACCGCACAGCUUUGUGAACUUAACAGUAUCGAGAAAGGACUGUACAAAGUAUCCAAAAGACUGUAUCUCUCAUUAAAUUAAUCUCAUUAUACAAUUCUUUAUCUCUCAUAAUGUUUUUUCUGUUUUUUCUCUUUUUGUUUUAAUUUAUCCACAAUACUCUUUACAAAUUCAACAGGUUUAACGAUCGCGAGACUAAUCGAGGAUCGCGAUCUUCUAGUUCAGGAUGAGAUCGUAAUCUGACGGUAUAUCGCGCGCGCGCGCAGCGAGGUGGACGAUGAUCGAUCAUGCGAGUCGUGGGAGUUGGAGCGAGAUUGCAGGGGAGAGGUGGCGAAGGAAACUAGGAGAUAAGAGUUCAUCUCAGAUACUUGAUUUUUGACACAACGAAUCUAUUCAGCGUGCCUCGUCGACGAUCUCUCGAGGAGGGUCUGGGAGAAGUCUUACAACA